rnacentral:rRNA from 1 species
GCAACUAUACGGUGAAACUGCGAAUGGCUCAUUAAAUCAGUUAUCGUUUAUUUGAUAGUACCUUACUACAUGGAUAACCGUGGUAAUUCUAGAGCUAAUACAUGCUAAAAACCCCGACUUCGGAAGGGGUGUAUUUAUUAGAUAAAAAACCAAUGCCCUUCGGGGCUCUCUGGUGAUUCAUAAUAACUUAACGAAUCGCAUGGCCUUGCGCCGGCGAUGGUUCAUUCAAAUUUCUGCCCUAUCAACUUUCGAUUGUAGGAUAGAGGCCUACAAUGGUAUCAACGGGUAACGGGGAAUUAGGGUUCGAUUCCGGAGAGGGAGCCUGAGAAACGGCUACCACAUCCAAGGAAGGCAGCAGGCGCGCAAAUUACCCAAUCCCGACACGGGGAGGUAGUGACAAUAAAUACUGAUACAGGGCUCUUUUGGGUCUUGUAAUUGGAAUGAGUACAAUCUAAAUCCCUUAACGAGGAACAAUUGGAGGGCAAGUCUGGUGCCAGCAGCCGCGGUAAUUCCAGCUCCAAUAGCGUAUAUUAAAGUUGUUGCAGUUAAAAAGCUCGUAGUUGAACCUUGGGCCUGGCUGGCCGGUCCGCCUCACCGCGUGCACUGGUUCGGCCGGGCCUUUCCUUCUGGGGAACCGCAUGCCCUUCACUGGGCGUAUUGGGGAACCAGGACUUUUACUUUGAAAAAAUUAGAGUGUUCAAAGCAGGCCUUCGCUCGAAUACAUUAGCAUGGAAUAAUAGAAUAGGACGUGCGGUUCUAUUUUGUUGGUUUCUAGGACCGCCGUAAUGAUUAACAGGGAUAGUCGGGGCCAUCCGUAUUCAAUUGUCAGAGGUGAAAUUCUUGGAUUUAUUGAAGACGAACUACUGCGAAAGCAUUUGGCAAGGAUGUUUUCAUUAAUCAGUGAACGAAAGUUAGGGGAUCGAAGACGAUCAGAUACCGUCGUAGUCUUAACCAUAAACUAUGCCGACUAGGGAUCGGACGGUGUUAUUAUUUUGACCCGUUCGGCACCUUACGAGAAAUCAAAGUCUUUGGGUUCUGGG